rnacentral:rRNA from 1 species
GGAAGUAAAAGUCGUAACAAGGUCUCCGUAGGUGAACCUGCGGAGGGAUCAUUACUGAGUGAGGGCGAAAGCCCGACCUCCAACCCUUUGUGAACCAACUCUGUUGCUUCGGGGGCGACCCCGCCGUUUCGGCGACGGCGCCCCCGGAGGUCAUCAAACACUGCAUCUUUGCGUCGGAGUCUUAAAGUAAAUUUAAACAAAACUUUCAACAACGGAUCUCUUGGUUCUGGCAUCGAUGAAGAACGCAGCGAAAUGCGAUAAGUAAUGUGAAUUGCAGAAUUCAGUGAAUCAUCGAAUCUUUGAACGCACAUUGCGCCCCGUGGUAUUCCGCGGGGCAUGCCUGUUCGAGCGUCAUUUCACCACUCAAGCCUGGCUUGGUAUUGGGCGUCGCGGUUCCGCGCGCCUUAAAGUCUCCGGCUGAGCAGUUCGUCUCUAAGCGUUGUGGCAUAUAUUUCGCUGAAGAGUUCGGACGGCUUUUGGCCGUUAAAUCUUUUACAAGGUUGACCUCGGAUCAGGUAGGGAUACCCGCUGAACUUAAGCAUAUCAAUAAGCGGAGGAAAAGAAACCAACAGGGAUUCUUAAGCAUAUCAAUAAGCGGAGGA